GCCCCGGUAGCUCAGUGGAUAGAGCGUUUGCCUCCGGAGCAAAAGGUCGUGGGUUCGAAUCCCGUCCGGGGCACCG
rnacentral:tRNA from 1 species